rfam:Trichobilharzia regenti genome assembly, scaffold: TRE_scaffold0004302
AUCCAGAUGAAGAGUCCCAAAUGGGACGAAAUCCUCAUCGUGGAU